GAUGAACGCUAGCGGCAGGCUUAACACAUGCAAGUCGAGGGGCAGCGGGGAGGAAGCUUGCUUUCUCCGCCGGCGACCGGCGCACGGGUGAGUAACACGUAUCCAACCUGCCGAUGACUCGGGGAUAGCCUUUCGAAAGAAAGAUUAAUACCCGAUGGCAUAGUUCUUCCGCAUGGUAGAACUAUUAAAGAAUUUCGGUCAUCGAUGGGGAUGCGUUCCAUUAGCUUGUUGGCGGGGUAACGGCCCACCAAGGCAUCGAUGGAUAGGGGUUCUGAGAGGAAGGUCCCCCACAUUGGAACUGAGACACGGUCCAA
rnacentral:rRNA from 1 species